rnacentral:rRNA from 1 species
UACGUAGGUGGCAAGCGUUUGUCCGGAUUUACUGGGCGUAAAGAGCGCGCAGGCGGUCGUCCAAGUCGCGUGUGAAAGCCCCCCGGCUCAACUGGGGAGGGUCACGCGAUACUGGUCGACUCGAAGGCAGGAGAGGGUAGUGGAAUUCCCGGUGUAGUGGUGAAAUGCGUAGAUAUCGGGAGGAACACCAGUGGCGAAGGCGACUACCUGGCCUGUUCUUGACGCUGAGGCGCGAAAGCUAGGGGAGCAAACGGGG